rnacentral:rRNA from 1 species
AGAGUUUGAUCCUGGCUCAGAACGAACGCUGGCGGCAGGCCUAACGCAUGCAAGUCGAGCGCCCGCAAGGGAGCGGCAGACGGGUGAGUAACGCGUGGGAACGUGCCCUUUGGUUCGGAAUAUUCCCGGGAAACUGGGAGCAAAACCGGAUAAGCCCUUCGGGGGAAAGUUUACGCCAAAGGAUCGGCCCGCGUUAGAUUAGGUAGUUGGUGGGGUAACGGCCUACCAAGCCUACGAUCUAUAGCUGAUCUGAGAGGAUGAUCAGCCACACUGGGACUGAGACACGGCCCAGACUCCUACGGGAGGCAGCAGUGGGGAAUCUUGGACAAUGGGCGCAAGCCUGAUCCAGCCAUGCCGCGUGGAUGACUGAAGGCCCUAGGGUUGUAAAGUCCUUUCGACGGGGACGAUAAUGACGGUACCCGUAGAAGGAGCCCCGGCUAACUUCGUGCCAGCAGCCGCGGUAAUACGAAGGGGGCUAGCGUUGUUCGGAUUUACUGGGCGUAAAGGGCGCGUAGGCGGAUUUUUAAGUCGGGGGUGAAAUCCCGGAGCUCAACUCCGGAACUGCCUUCGAUACUGGAAGUCUGGAGCACGGUAGAGGUGAGUGGAAUUCCGAGUGUAGAGGUGAAAUUCGUAGAUAUUCGGAGGAACACCAGUGGCGAAGGCGGCUCACUGGACCGUUGCUGACGCUGAGGCGCGAAAGCGUGGGGAGCAAACAGGAUUAGAUACCCCGGUAGUCC